GCAAGUCGAACGGUAACAGUAAGUGCUUGCACUUAGCUGACGAGUGGCGGACGGGUGAGUAAUACUUAGGAAUCUGUCCUUUGGAGGGGGAUAACCAUUGGAAACGAUGGCUAAUACCGCAUAUUGGCUGAGGCCAAAAGGGGGGUGCUUGCACCUCUCGCCAAGGGAGGAGCCUAAGCGAGAUUAGCUAGUUGGUGAGGUAAAGGCUCACCAAGGCGACGAUCCCUAGCUGGUCUUAGAGGAUGACC
rnacentral:rRNA from 1 species